rnacentral:tRNA from 2 species
AAACUUGAAGUAAACUAGUUAUUUGUGUUUUGAAAACACAUUGUGGGUCUUUGGCCUAUAGUUUU